rfam:Triticum aestivum genome assembly, contig: Triticum_aestivum_CS42_TGACv1_scaffold_425143_5BS
GCCGAGAAGAGGAAGAGAGAGACUCUAAGAGCAUUGGGAAUAGGAUCAUAGAGGAAAGUCUAGAGCUUGAUAUCUCCUCCAAUGUCAGAGGUAGAAAUUUGCUUUGUGUUUUCCUGAUGCCUCAUAUUUCUAUUGAUCUUAGGCACUCCUUCCUCUUCCUUUUGGCU